UGUGGUAUGCACGGAGUGGGAUCUAUUUUCGUCCUGUGCCUUUUAGGUUGAUUAGGAUCUAUUUUCGUCCUAUGCCUUUUAGUUUUUUUAGUCAGACCAUGAUGGCUAGAUUCAACACGAGGUCAAAAGUUCUGUGUGAAGGAAACUAUUUAAAUGUUGGCAACUUUGUUUGAUAGCUGGCCUGGGAUAGAUAACAUCUCAUCGUGCAAGAUGGUAAGUAAGGUAUUUUGUCCAUUAUUGUCAUGGUUUAUUGUUGUUUCUAAUAGCUACCACUUGUACAUAUCUUUUGUAUGCAUUCGUCAGAUGAUACAUCUUGUACGUCACCGACAAAAAGGCACUCGUGUAUAUAUUCUGGUCCCUAUUCAUACAUCAUAGUCGUCAGAAUGUAAAACUCGGAGGCAUUUAGUGAAAUUAAAAAAAUUUGCGAGGGAAUUCAAAGAAGCACUCGACACAAAGCAACUCGGCUGAAAUUCUGAUAUAUUUAGAUGGCAACGUUUGUACUCAACCGAGCAUUUAGGGGUAAUAAAUUUGUUGGAUCAUCAUUCUAAAUGUAUAGAUAGUCAAUUUGCAAGUGAAGUGGGCUUCAAUUAUUAUGCAAUUGUUUCUGUGUUAUACAACAUUGUCUCGACAAGUGAAAUUGAACUCCAGCAAAAUAUUUCAAAAGCCUGUGACAACGCACGGGCACUCGACUAGUAUAUCUAUAGGCUGGACUAUUCUGUUACUAGUAACAUAAUAUCAUUCUGUACCCUCGGCCGUAUAUAGACGCGCACCCGUUUAUUCCAGAAACAUACGAUGAACCCGAACCGGUACUGGAUAGAACACCAAAACAGAAAAAAAAACCACCCUCCCGACCCAUCCUCCAUCCCACUUCUCUUGGCUCCCAGCGUGGCCCCGCCCCCACCUUCUCCCCGCGCCCGGCGCCGCCCGCCCCCAGCUCCUCCCCGGAUCCCGGCGCCGCCCGGCACCCACCUCCUCCCUGGAUCCCGGUGCCGCCCCGCCCCCACCUCCUCCCCUGCCCCCGGCGCCGCCCGGCCCCCGACCUCCCGGCCCCCACCUCCUCAUGUUUGCCGGUGCGUCUCCACCUCUCGGCUACCGGUGCGUCUCCACCUCUCAGCCGCCGGUGCGUCUCCACCUCUCAGCCGCCGACUCGCCUCUACCUUGUCCAGGCCGUCCAGGUAAUGCGCGCGCAUCCGUUCGCAGAAGACCCGGUCGCCGGGCACCAUUCGCCAUCCGGCGCGACGCCAUGGGUAAAGCCGAGAUGAAGCUACCGGUUCCAGCACCAGCACCUGUGACGUCAGUCCACCGACGUGCUCGGCACCGUCCACAACUCAAUUGCGCUCGAGCUUACGCUCUAGAUCAUCUUCCUCCAUGCUCCGGCCACGGCUCCCCACUGCCAACACAAGAUCCCAACCACUUCUGAAAAAACUGUUGUUAUCUGGUUAGGAGUUCACAUUUGCUAAAUUAUGUAGUUCUUUGGUUCACCAUUGCUAAAUUUUGUAGCUAUCUGGUUAGUACUUUACCUUUUAUAAAAUCUGUAGUUCUCUAGUUAGAUAAACAGUGGUUAUCUUUCCAGAAACAAUGCCAGUCUACAAUUUCUGUUAUUGGUAGUAGCAGUUCAAUGUAUAUUAGAAGAAGAAAAAAGGAAACAGUUGUGUUUUGCAUGACCACAUGAGGUGUCACCACAAAAGCAGCAAACAACGAUGUUGGAGGCUGUUCUGUAGUCUGCCACUAUUCUGCCUGACCGAUAACAGCGGCGGCAAGACGAACACCGUGCGCGCACCUGUGUGACAUGAAGCGGAGGCAUCACUAUGGCCGCGUACAGAGUGUUGGGACUGCAACAAUUCCCAAGGUCCAAAGCGUAGAGGAUGUGCUUGUGAGCUGUGAUGUUCUAAACCUGUGAUAUAUGUGUGCAUCUGCGGCAGUGAGAGGCAGACCCGUUCAUGUUCCACCAUCUCCCAAGCUAAGUUUUCUACUGUUUUUGAUGUUAUUCCUAAAAGAAAAUCAUUUGUACAUGGCCAAUGUGAAUGUGCAGUCUGGUGUAUUGCAAAAGAACAGUCACGUGUGUGGUUAAUUAGCUGAGCAUGCAGGGCCUGUUUGAGCUUUAGGUGGAGAACUAGUUGGAUACUACGGUUUUUGGAAAAUCAAGUUGUUCUUUCUUUACAUGAUUUAGAAACUUGCAUUGCAUUCUCCUGUUGCUUUACUCUUCCAUCUCAUAUUGCUUCAUUCUAUAUGAUUGAGUUAUCUAAAAGAGUUUCUGUUCCUGCUAUCUACAGAGAUACAUUGUUUUAACUGAAAAAUGAUGUAUCUGGCGGCCACCACUCCUUGGAACUUUUCUUCCAUCUGCUUGUACGCAGACCAUGGUGCUUCACUUCGUUCUUAUCUUUUUUAUUUUGUUCAGCCAGUCAGUGCUUCUUCUUGAUCUCCCGACCACCAGUGCCGCUUCUUCCGGGCCUUCUGCUCAUGCCGCUUGAGUUGUCUGUACAUUUUUUCCUCAGUUCUAAAAUCCUAGAGCGUCAGUCCAACUACAUAUCAGGUAUACUAUGUUGCCUCUGCGAUAUUCCGUAUGCUUGUAUGUACGAAAUAUGGUACAUUUGCUGCUUCAAUUUCUGCCAACUCUGAAUGCCAGUGGCGGAGCUAGCGACAAAUGACUAAGGGGGCCAUGGCGUGUGUGGAGGGCUGGUUUCUUCACAAACUAUAUUUCUCUCAAUUUGUGACACACAAAUUCUGAAUUUCUUCACAAAAAAUCCAAGAGCUAGGGGGCAUGGCCCCUGCAGUAAUACACAUAGCUCCACCAAUGCUGCGUUAGCCAAUUUUUUUUGUAACACAUACAUCUAGCUUGUCUUGAAGCUCCAUGAUGUGGAAAAAACAUUGGGGAAACUUCAUAUUC